rnacentral:lncRNA from 1 species
GUUUGAAUAUUUGAAUUAAUCAACAUCUGAAUAUUUGAAUUUAUCAGCAUUCCAAUAUUUGAAUUUAUCAACAUUCCAAUAUUUGAAUUUAUCAAUGUCUGAAUAUUUGAAUUUAUCAACAUCUGAAUAUUUGAAUUUAUCAAUGUCUGAAUAUUUGAAUUUAUCAGUGCUUUAAUAUUUGAAUUUAUCAGCGUUUGAAUAUUUGAAUUCCAUCAAUGUUUUAAUAUUUGAAUUUCAUCAAUGCUUGAAUAUUUGGAUUUUAUCAAUAUUUUAAUAUUUCCCCCCAAACAGGCCUGGCUCUGCAGGUGAGGAUGAGGGAAAUCCCGCCUCCAUCAUUCCUGCUGAAAUCAGGGAAAAGUUCUGAAUUCUUGAGGAUUUUCCUGUUAAAACCCCUCCUCUGCUCAUCCUCAAAUCUAAAAUCCUCAAAAAAUGGAAAAAACAAAACAAAAAAAACCCCAAAAAACCCCAAACAACUACAACAACAACAAAAAAAAAAAUUUAAAAAUCCCCCCGGAAAACAAAACAAAAAAUACCCAAGAAACCCUAACACCCCCCCCCAAUAAAACCCAAAAAAACCAAAAUCCAAAACCCCAAAAAAAAAAUGUCCCCAUGGACAGGGAGGGACAUGGGCACUGUCCCCAUGGCACAGGGAGGGACACCCAUGGCACAGGGAGGGACACGGGCACUGUCCCCAUGGCACAAGGAGGGACAUGGCCAGUGUCCCCAUGGACAGGGAGGGACAUGGGCACUGUCCCCAUGGACAGGGAGGUGACAGCUCAGGAGCUAUCGUGGCCUCCCAGCUGCUGCUGCAGCUCCAGCUGUGCCUGUGGGGCUGCCAUCCCUGGGGACUUUAUCAGGGAUUGUCCCCAUUUUUGGGGCUGCCAUUCUUGGGGAUUUUUUGGAGGAAAUUUUCACAGCUGAGGGAUGGGAAAAUGGCCAUGAAUCCAUUCAGCGCUGCUGAUUUGGUUUGUGAAUGAUGAAAUAAUCAGAAUUUCUCGGUGCCAACGUGCCCUCUGCUGGCAGCGGGGCUCCGUGCAAAAUGGGGGAGAAAUCGCGAUAAAUCACGAUCAAAAUGUGGGAUAAAUCACGAUAAAUCAUAAUCAAAAUGUGGGAUAAAUCACGAUCAAAAUGUGGGAUUGUCAU